ensembl:lncRNA
CGGGGGUACAGGUUAGUCAAGGUACUUUAAAGUUGGGGUAUCUGUACAUUACUUUUUAUAUUUUUGACUACUUUAACUUCACUGCAUUCCUAAAAAAAAAGAGUACUUUUUAUACCCAAAAAGUACUUGUUACAUUUUGAAUGCUUAGCAGGACAGGAAAAUGGUCCAAUUCACACACUUAUCAAGAGAACACCUUGUCAUCCCUACUGCCUCUGAUCUGGUGGACUCACUAAACACACAUGCAUCUUUCAUAAAUUCUGUCUUGAGUGUUGGAGUGUUCCCCUGGCUCUCUGUAAUGAUGUCUGAGUAUUGGAGUUGUACCCUGGCUAUCUGUAAUGAUGUCUAAGUGUUGGAGUGUUCCCCUGGCUAUCUGUAAUGUCUGAGUGUUGGAGUGUUCCCCUGGCUAUCUGUAAUGAUGUCUGAGUGUUGGAGUGUGCCCCUGGCUAUCUGUAAUGAUGUCUGAGUGUUGGAGUGUUCCCCUGGUUAUCUGUAAUGAUGUCUAAGUGUUGGAGUGUACCCCUGGCUAUCUGUAAUGAUGUCUAAGUGUUGGAGUGUGCCCCUGGCUAUCUGUAAUGAUGUCUAAGUGUUGGAGUGUUCCCCUGGCUAUCUGUAAUGAUGUCUAAGUGUUGGAGAGUGCCCCUGGCUAUCUGUAAUGAUGUCUAAGUGUUGGAGUGUGCCCCCUGGCUAUCCGUGAAUUGUUUUUUUAAAGACAAGAAAAUGAAGCCGUCUGUUUUCCUUAAUAUAAGGAAUUUGAAAAGAUUUUUACUUUUGCAUACUUAAGUAAAAUUGAGCAAUUACAUUUACUUCUUGAUACUUACUGCUUACUGUAUAUUUACAACCAAAUACUUUGAGACUUUUACUGAAGUAGUAUUUCACUGGGUGACGUUCAAUUUUAUUUGAGUACCUUUCUAUUAAGGUAUGUUUGACAAUUGGUUACUUUUUCCACCAAUGUAGGUGAAGUGACAAUAAAACAAAGGGGGUUAAUGCAAAAAAGUCUGGGUGGCCAUUUUGAUUAGCUGUUCAGGAGUCUUAUGGCUUUGGGGGUAGAAGUUGUUAAGCUGUUCUUGGACCUAGACUUGGCACUCCGGUAUCGCUUGCCGCCCGG